AUUGAACGCUGGCGGCAGGCCUAACACAUGCAAGUCGAGCGGUAGAGAGAAGCUUGCUUCUCUUGAGAGCGGCGGACGGGUGAGUAAUGCCUAGGAAUCUGCCUAGUGGUGGGGGAUAACGUUCGGAAACGGACGCUAAUACCGCAUACGUCCUACGGGAGAAAGCGGGGGACCUUCGGGCCUCGCGCCAUUAGAUGAGC
rnacentral:rRNA from 1 species